CAACGAAGUUGCGGAGGGUAUAAUGUUUUUGACCCUUUCGUCCGUCCGUCCGUCUGUCCGUCCGUCAGUCCUGUUUCUUGUCAUCGCAACUUCUCUAAAACCACACAACAGAAUUUCACGAAACCUUUUCAGAUAAUAAGGACAUACUAUGUAGUUGUGCAUAUCGACGGGAAAUUGCGAUUCAUUUUUUUUCUAGGAGUUACGCCCCUUUGAACUUAUUUGCUUCAAUGUACUACUGCAACAGUUUGUCAUCGCAACUCCUCUCAAACCACACAACAGAAUUUCAUGAAACCUUUUCAGAUAAUAAGGACAUACUAUGUAGAUGUGCAUAUCGACAGGAAAUUACGAUUCAAUUUUUUUUCUAGGAGUAACGCCCCUUUGAACUUAUUUACUUUAAUGUACUACUGCAACAGUUUGUCAUCGCAACUCCUCUCAAACCACACAACAGAAUUUCACGAAAUCUUUUUAUAUGAAAAGGACAUAUUAUGUAGUUGUGCAUAUCGACAGGAAAUUACGAUUCAAUUUUAUUUCUAGGAGUUACGCCCCUUUGAACUUAUUUGCUUCAAUGUACUACUGCAACAGUUUGUCAUCGCAACUCCUCUGAAACUACAUAACAGAAUUUCAUGAAACCUUUUCAGAUAAUAAGGACAUACUAUGUAGAUGUGCAUAUCGACAGGAAAUCACGAUUCAAUUUUUUUUCUAGGAGUUACGCCUCUUUGAACUUAUUUGCUUUAAGGUACUACUUCAACAGUUUGUCAUCUCAACUCUUCUGAAACCACAGAACAGAAUUUCAUGAAACUUUGUAGAUAAUAAGGACAUACUAGGUAGAUGUGCAUAUCAACAGGAAAUUACGAUUUAAUUUUUUUUCUAGGAGUUAUGCCCCUUUGAACUUAUUUGCUUCAAUGUACUUCUGCAACAGUUUGUCAUCUCAACUCCUCUGAAAACACACAACAGAAUUUCAUGAAAUUUUG
rnacentral:lncRNA from 1 species